rnacentral:lncRNA from 1 species
AUUGCUGUGGGUUUUAGCCGCAAUGGUGUUUGCAAUGGCCGAAGGGGCUCGUGGACAGCGCGUGCCUUGCUAUUUCGUUUUCGGAGACUCAGUUUUCGACAACGGUAACAACAAUGACUUGAACACCUCCGCUAAAGUUAACUAUUCACCUUAUGGUAUGGAUUUAGCUAGAGGUCCCACGGGCCGAUUCAGCAAUGGCCGUAAUAUUCCCGACUUUAUCGGUUAGUCCCUGGCUUGUUUUAUUUCUUUGCCCAAAUGUUUUCGAUGAAAUUACUAAUAGAUACUAUUAACUAGAAAAGACAAACGUAUCAUAACGUAUUCUUUGCCUAACUGGAAGUUUAGAAUGUAGGCAUUUCUCUUUUAGCUGAUAUUUUCAAUGGAACAUAAAAAGAAAUGCAAACAUUAGAACUAGAUAUAUAGUGUUAUGCAGACCAGUCACAGAUGCAAAUUAAGAGACUAUUUAAGUAGAUAAAUAAAUUUUUGCUUAUCACACGUCCACAUAGGUGGUUUAGAGUUUCUCAAAAUAUAUAAAUAAAUAAAAGGGAAGUAAAAGGAUGAGAGGUAAAAGGAUGAGAGGUGAGAAAAUCUCUCCAUUGAGAGACUAUAUCACACAAAACGAUCUCUCCGUGAGAGACUAUAUAUAACACUUCUGGAAAAAAACCAUUUGCUUAGUUUUUAGACAGUCAAUGUUUAAAAAUCUAUAAACAUCACUUUUUGUUUUGUUUAGAAACUCUGCUGAGUCUCUGGCGAUAAAUAUCAUUGAUUAAUAGCAACUCCAAUAUUGGAGAUACUUACUUGAGGAUCUGAACAAAUAUCAUUACUUUUGAAUAUGCUUAGUUUUAAUUUUAGACAAAACUAAUGAUUUAAGAGGGUGACAAGUGUCUCUAUGGUUUUUUAAGAUCAUCUCCAACCCACUGUAAUAUUUAUCUUUAUAAUAAUAUUUAGGGAUAAAAUUACUCUAAAUCAUCUUUAUUUUUUUUUUAAAUAGAAACUGUUAUUUUUUCUAUUUAUAAAGGAAGAAAUAGUCUUUUGUAUAUUUUAUUUUAUAUUUGGAGAUUGUUAUUUAAAAAUACAUAGAGCAUAUUUCAUCUUUAUUACAAAGUUUUUUUUAUUUUAGAGAUAAAGAUAGCAAAAUACAUUAAAGAUAGUUUAAAAGAUUCUUGUGACCUCUCAAAUGACAGAGAGGGUCUCAAAAUUUCUUACCUCUCAUACUUUUUGAGUUUAUAUUGUUUUAUUGUUUACAUAUCUUAUCUAAUUACUGACGAUGGGCAUGGCCUAAUGAUGCCCUAAUGUAUAUAAGAAUCAAUUUCCCAAAAGGAAAAAACAAAUUUUGUGAAGGGUUUCUUGUGAAUCUGUACCUUUUUUAAAAGUUUAUUGUGUUUAUCAUUCAUAAGUAUUGUAUAUGGUUUCUUGUCUAAUAUGCGUUUGAAUUAUGUUGUUUUUAGCUGAACUAAUGAGAUUCAGUGAUUACAUUCCACCUUUCACCGGAGCAUCGCCGGAACAAGCUCACACCGGUUUAAAUUACGCUUCUGGCGGCGCGGGAAUUCUCGAAGAUACUAGCUACCAUCUGGUAAGAACAUACUUUAGAAGCAAAAGAGAUCAAAAUAAAGAUAUUUCUUUAUUUUUCCUCGGGUAUUUCAUUUUUACUAAUACUAAUAUAUGGUUAAGUAACUUUCCUAAACGUACUACUAUAUUUAGUAAUACUGAUUCAAAAAACGCGCAGUGAUCAUUUGUUCUCAUUUGGUAGCUCGAAUGUUUGGUUAAUAUGAAACUAAUUAGUAAAUUGAGAUUUUGUAACUGAAAGUUUGAGGUUUCAAACCUAACUUAGAAAAAGACAAUUUAAAAUGUUGUGAUUCCCUGUCCAAUGAAUAUACACAAAUAAUUUUGUAAAUGUUUUAGGUGACUAUAAAUAAUUUUUUUAUUUUAUUUCUUUUAAAGCAAAUAAUCAUUUGGUUCGAUUGAUUUGCUUUUUCUUUUCUUUUUUCUGGCAGGGAUCCUAAAUAUGACUCGCUUAUUUGACAUUUUUUUGUGUUUAAACACUUAAAUUAAUUACUUACGCAUUAUGAUAUUUCUUACGAUAGGGUGAUAGAAUCAGUUUUAGAACGCAAAUCAAGAACCACCGGACGGCGAUUAUGACUGCAAAAGUGCCCCCGGAGAAGCUGAAGCAAUGUCUAUACACUAUUAAUAUAGGAAGCAAUGAUUAUCUUAACAACUACUUCAUGCAGGGUGAUAAGUACAAUACACAACGCAAGUACACUUACGAUCAAUUUGCUGAUUCCCUCAUUCGACAUUAUCGCUCUUUUCUGAAGGUAAUAUACCCAAGGUUUUGAAAAGAAAAUUAAUAAAGGAAUCAUAAACCUUCAUAUUUCAUUGAAAUAACUUUGACAUUAUAAAUAGUUGAUUAAUUUCCAUAUAAAACAUCAUGCAGAGUAUUGGAUAUAUCUCUAUAAAUUUUACUCCUAUUUAAUUAUCUAUCUUUAAACAGAUUAAUUUAGAGACAUUUUUUUGUAUAAGUUGUUGUAUGUCCAAGGAGCAAGGAAGGUGGCUCUGUUUGGGGUCAGUAAGAUAGGGUGCACCCCGCGGAUGAUUUCCUCCCAUGGUGGUGGUAUGGGCUGUGCCGCUGAAGUGAACAAAGCAGUUGAACCUUUCAACAUGAACCUUAAAGCUCUGGUCAGAGAGUUCAACACUAACUUCGCCGAUGCUAAGUUCACUUUUGUCGAUAUGUACACCGGGCAAACUCCAUUUGCGUAUGCUGCCUUAGGUAAGUAAUACUAAAUAUAUUGAACUGAAAUUUUUGACCCAAGAUGAAAUCAUUUUACCGGAUAAAAAACAUAUAGUAUAAUACUAAAAUACACUGUUUUCAUUAAGGUGUUCUAAGGAAUACCAGAGUUAAGUUUCCCAAAAUACACAAGGAAAACUUUUGGAAAGGUUUAUGAUCAACUCCUUCCUAAUGGCUUUACUAAUCCAGUUGUAUGAUCAGCUAUUAAGCUUUUUGAAGAUGAUUCCUAAAUACAUAAAAAAACUUCAUUAACUUUUCAUAAUCGUGUUCCUAGAAUACUUGAUAUCUUAAAAUCAAAUAUUUUCUAUCGUUUUCAUUUUCUUCUGAAAUAUAAAUUUAAAUCUUCAUUUUGUCACAACUCUAAAAGAUUUGAUCAGUUGGAUCAUUUAUUUUCCAUAGUAGUACAAUUGCAGUAUAAUCACGAUAAAAUUUAUAAUAUUAGAUUGUGAUCCUAUAAUUUGAUUUGAUCAUGCAUAUACUUUUAACAAAAAAGUAAAAAUAAUUAUGCGUAUUUUUACAUUCUUGUAGGGUUUGCUGUAACACAAAAGAGUUGUUGUACGGUAGAAUCAGGGGAAGAACUAUGUGCUGCGGAUAAACCGGUUUGUGCGUUUCGAGACCGGUACGUGUACUGGGACAAUGUCCACAGCACUGAGAGGGCCAACAUGUUUGUGGCAAAGGCUGCUUUUGCCGGAAUCGUUGCUUUUCCUUACAGCAUUGCCUUGCUUGGAAUAGUGUAGGGAUAAUAUACUCGAAACCAUUCAUUUUCUUUUGUUGGAUAUUUUAUAUAUAUGAUCUUUGUUAUUAAUCUAAUUGUUUUACUGAGCAAGGAAACUUUGUUUCAUUAAUUUCAACCGGUGAUUUUUUUUGCACCAAAUUCUUAUAUUAAAAAUUAACCACACAACAGGCUUAUAAGGUUACAACGGUAGGUAACCUGGACUACUAAACGAUAAAAAGAAACUACUCAAUUUUUGUUUACCAAUAUGGAUCAUUUAUUUUGGAGAGUGUCCUCCGAAAUGGAGGAUCAUUAAUUUGCUUGGAUUCUCUGGUAUAUAUGGAAAGGUAGAAACAAUAAAGUUUUUAGCAAUUUGGAUAUGGAUCCCAGAGAUACUCUCAAAUUGGCAGAAACGGAAUCGUUACUUUGGGCGGAAGCACAAAACUCUCAGACUCAGAGUACGGACCGCACCCAAGUUCCAGUACCUUUGGCAAUACCGAGUAUACCAGGUAGAUGGUGUUUUACGGACGGAUCUUGGAAAACAGAGGAUAAAUAUUCAGGGCAAUUAGGAUGGUACAGUACCCUGACAACUAUAUGGAAGUAGUUUAAUGGUGAAUAGACUUUGAGAAGAUAAAUGAUCUGGAUUCGAAUCAAUUUCACCUCAUUAAAUUUAGGUGGGUUUAUUCUUGUGGACUACAUCUCCUAUUACAAAACUAAUGUGAUUUUUUUUCAUAUAUCUAAGAUAUCUCGUAAGUUAUUCCAUUUUUUUGUCAAAUGCUCAUAUUUAGCAGAUUCAAUCUCGGUUCAGUUCAGCGGUGGCACAUGCAUUUGUGUGUGUUUUUACUAAUGCAUGUGUGCGGUUGUUUCCUUUUCCUUUUUCGGACAACCACGUGGUGUAGUUUUAUAUAAUGAUUUCUCAUUGAUUCUCUAUAGUUGCCUAAAUCUAUUGAACUUUGUUGUGAGUUUACAUUUUCACUUGGCCAAUACAUCAUUUAAAAUUUUCUCAUAAAUUAAUUUGAUAACCCAUUUUUCUAAAGUCAUUCAAUUUUUAUAAAACUCAUUUGACUUUGAAAACUGUUCCAGCAAUAAACUCUCUAUUACAACAAAAAUUAAGCAACAACUCCAACUUAUAAUUUUCAUUCUUCAGCUGAGAUGACUAUGUCUUCACGUCUUAUUAUCAAAGGUUUGUAGUUGUUUCUAACAGUCUUAAUUAUAUCUGUUAUCGUUUUGUUUUUUUUUUUGUUUUUUGUUUUUUGUUUUUUGUUUUUUGUUUUUUGCAUAUAGGAAAAACAAUUUUAACCAAAAAUCCCUAGUUUAUGGUAUCCAUGAUAAGUGUGUGAACUUUAACCAAAGAAACAAACGACAGCAAGUUGUAGAAGUUAUCAUAUUAACUAACAUUGUCAAACGGCCAAAGCGUCGAGAGUCGAGACUUUGCAAACUAAUUUUUAUUGUUCGGUUAAAAUGUGAUCUAUUUCGUUACAAAAAUUGUGUUCUAUUUAUACAAUUAAAUGUAAUAAAUUAAUAGUUAUAUGAGAUUUUACAAUUUUGUAUUAUUUAUAUUGUAUUUGAAGUGAAUUUAAAUUAUAAAUAAGCAUAAAAUUGAAACAAAAUAUGAGUUCAAGUCUCUAAUUAUUAAUUACCCAGCUACAUUAAGCUUUUGUUUUCAUAGUUUUUUUUAUUUUUAUGGGGUCAAACUAUAAAAUUUGGUGGGGUCAUAAUAUUUUUUAUGAAAGAAAAACUUAUAUUUUAUAAAUUAGGUGGGGUCAGCUGACCCCCUCCAACAUCUAUACUUAUCAGUCUUGAAUUGAAACAAAAUUACUAAAUACUCUUCAAAAACACCAUAGAGGUUUUUCUUGACAAAAUGACUUGUAUUUUUCUCAUUACAACUCACGUGCAAGUUGACUAUUAAAGAUACUUUAAAAAUAAAUUAAUUAACAUCCGUAAUUAACUGACUAUCUCUUCUAUUGGAUAGACUAGAAAUAGAAUUUUAAUUCUGUCUGUCUCCUCCUAUGUAUGGGUUAUAUAUAUAGACUUUUCUCUUUUCUUCAAUGUUGCCACAUUUCAGAUUUCUAGUAAUUGGUUUUCAGAAAUGGCGGAGGGAAUGUUCAAGGUAUUGCUGUGGGUUUUAGCCGCAAUGGUGUUUGCAAUGGCCGAAGGGGCUCGUGGACAGCGCGUGCCUUGCUAUUUCGUUUUCGGAGACUCAGUUUUCGACAACGGUAACAACAAUGACUUGAACACCUCCGCUAAAGUUAACUAUUCACCUUAUGGUAUGGAUUUAGCUAGAGGUCCCACGGGCCGAUUCAGCAAUGGCCGUAAUAUUCCCGACUUUA